GCAUUAUGGGCUUAUCGGACGACUCAUCGCACCCCUACAGGGGUUACACCAUAUUCGCUUGUUUACGGUGUGGAGGCUGUCCUUCCUCUCGAAAGGGAAAUUCCGUCACUAAGAAUGGCAGUACAAGAGGGAUUGACUACCGAAGAUAAUGUGAAGUUACGUCUUCAAGAAUUAGAAGCACUUGACGAAAAGCGAUUAGAGGCUCAGCAAGCAUUGGAAUGUUAUCAAGCGAGAAUGUCCAAAGCUUUUGAUAAACACGUUAAACCUCGCUCCUUUCAAGUCGGUGAUCUAGUACUUGCCGUAAGGAGACCGAUCAUCACAACAAGGCAUACAGGAAAUAAGUUCACACCUAAAUGGGAUGGACCUUACAUUGUUAAAGAAGUUUAUACAAAUGGCGCAUACAAGAUCGUUGAUCAAGACGGACUACGAAUUGGCCCAAUCAAUGGUAAAUUUCUUAAAAAAUUUAUGCUUAAUUUUGUUAGGUAAAAAAAAAAAAAAAGUUGAACUACGUUAUGACUUGAUCCCUAUAUUAUAAAGGGUACGUAGGCAGCUUAAGGAAAACCUUAAGCCCAGUCCAGCAAAAAAAAAUUGAACUACGUUAUGACUUGAUCCCUAUAUUAUAAAGGGUACGUAGGCAGCUUAAGGAAAACCUUAAGCCCAGUCCAGCAAAAAAAAAAAGUUGAACUACGUUAUGACUUGAUCCCUAUAUUAUAAAGGGUACGUAGGCAGCUUAAGGAAAACCUUAAGCCCAGUCCAGCAAAAAAAAAGUUGAACUACGAUAUGACUUGAUCCAUAUAUUAUAAAAGGUAUGUAGGCAGCUUAAAGGAAACUUUAAGUUCAGUCCAGUAAAAAAAAAGAGAAGAAAGACAAAUUACAUUUAAUAGAAAAUAUGAUGAGGGGUGGAACAAUGAAAGAAUAAUUUUUUUUAAUAUUAUUAUAAACUUCUAGCAAAAAAAAAAAAAAUUAAAAAGCUUCCAAAGGAUUGGCGUCAACCAUCAUAGAGUAUCUUGAACAUAAAAAGCUUCCAAAGGAUUCUCGUCAUAAAAUUGAGAUACGAAGAAGGGCAGCACACUUCAUUUAUUACAAGGCAGCUUAAGGAAAACCUUAAGCCAAGUCCAGCAAAAAAAAAAAAGUUUGAACUACGUUAUGACUUGAUCCCUAUAUUAUAAAGGGUACGUAGGCCAGCUUAAGGAAAACCCUAAGCCCAGUCUAGCAAAAAAAAAAAAGUUGAACUACGAUAUAACUUGAUCCCUAUAUUAUAAAGGGUAUAUUGGCAGCUUAAAGGAAACUUUAAGUUUAGUCCAGUAAAAAAAGGAAGAAAGACAAAUUACAUUUAAUAGAAAAUAUGAUGAGGGGUGGAACAAUGAAAGAAUAAUUUUUUUUAUUAUUAUUAUAAACUUCUAGCAAACAAAAAAAAAUUAAAAAGGCAUAAGUAGAUAAACAAGAGAAGGCAGAGAAUCAUGGAGUCCAUUUAAAGUUCUUCAGCUCCUCUAGUGUGCUUUCUAAAGAUUCACGAAGUGUUGAUAGCAUUUUAGCGUCAAUAUCUCCAACGAUCGGGGCACAUUCGAGUUGGUUAAUUUCCUCACAAGUCUUCGAAAUCUCAUGUUGCUUCUGCUUCAGCUCCAGGUCGUUCUUGAAAUUAUGCCAGAAAGUUUAGCAGACUCAGCCCGCACCAUCUUUAGUUUUGCCUCUAGUUUAGCCUCCUUAGCGGACAGUCGUGUAAGACGACGUUUAGCAAUGUUGGUCUCUGCCAAUAUACGAUUCUCAUCAACUCGCAGAGUUCUUCAAAAAACCUUUUGCCUCCGUUAACUGAACAUCCUUAGUUGAUUGGAGUAGAAAUCAGGAAUGUAUUUGAUUAUGGUUCUCGACACCUUGGAAGUAACAAUUCACAAGCUCCUCAAAACAAUAAGGUUGUCGCUGUCGCUAGUCGCAAUCGCAUCAAAGAUCUUAUGCAUUUCUGGUUCAAUACUACUCAGUUCGUUCAAAAGGGGACGAAUGAUCUUCUGUCGUAGGUUUUUCCAUAAGGUUAUGGCAGUCUGUCGUCCGGAGGUUAGAAAUUAAGCUGUCAGCACAAAAAUGAGAAAUCUCAGAAGCUGCAAUAGGCUCUGUUCCUUCCACUUUUUGAGGAGGUCCCUUGAUCACAGGAGGACGAGCAGACACAAUAUUUGCGCCUAUAGGUUUCUUAGAGUUCCCAUUAUAAGAAAGUACAAUGUUACAGUCUUCUAGAUUCGACAUCGACUCUAGGGUAUCUUCGAUGUGUAGGUCAUGAUCACCUAAAGAAGACUGCAAAAUAAUAUUAACAACAAGAAAUAAGAGGAGUAAAGGAGAGAAAAUACAAUAAAUAAAUAAAUAAAAAGGGAGACGAAAAGAAACCAUGGGGGAAGGGACAUCGAAGAAUUGUGGCAGCAUCAGGGACCCGAAUAGGAGACUCUUCAUCAUCGAUCGACUGUUUGUUGGGCUUCUUGGGUCUCUUCCAAUGGCGAUCAUCAUUGCUGCUUUGACUGUCCUCAAUACGUUUAGAAUGAUGCUUGGCAGCUAUCGAUAAGCGGUUGUCCUUACCCACAUUGUCAAUACCACCUUUAAUAAGAUGUUUAAAUCGUGUAGAAAGAGACAAAUUAUCCACCAAGCGUUUUGUCCCUCCCUCAAUUUUCUCCACAAGUCGUUCAUCAGUUUCAUCGGAGCAUAUCUUCUGAUUUCCACUACCAAAAUUAUUUUCAAUCUUUUUUGUGGUUUUGGAUUUGAUGUGAGGGGGAGUAGGACGAUCUAUCAAAUGUUGUACUCCUUCUUGGAAGGUAAUCACCGUGUUUUGCAAGCCACCAGACCUUAUAAUGAGAGGUAACAUGUGUGUCUGGGUUAGGGGCAGACACUGGAAGAUAUACUUGGGAAAGCGUAUUCUCGCGAAUACAAAUCAUUCAACAUAAUCGUAACGUUAAAAAAAUAAUUGGCUUAGGGAAUUUCUUCACCUAAGUCAUAUGGCACGUCUUGAUAAAAUCCAAAUUGUCGGCUAAAGCGACAAGGACUAUAAGGCUCAAUAACUGUGGAGGAUCCACAUUGCGAGGAUAGAAAACAAGAAGCGAAUGCUUAUGAAAAAUGAAGGCAUUCCAACUAAUUAACUCUCCAUCAUCCGUUAAGAGUUCGUCCUUAUUCUUUGUUGGAAGACACGCAUGCCAUGACACAUACUUUCCCUUGUGGAUAUGUGUUCGAGCCUCAAGAUUAGUAUAAUAUUUGGCCCCACCUUCACCAGAAAAUUCAACCAUGCAAGGACCCCUAAGACUCCUAGGGGCUUUAUAAUGAGUGUUGAAGGUAAAGAGCAAGCCACCCAUGGACAUAGUGAAGAGGAAAACAGGCAUUUGAAUAACCAAGUGAUGAAGUAGAAUCAUGAACUUGGCGUAGGCCACUAUAACUAUUAGCUAAAACAGGGACGACAAGGCUAAAUGUGUAGCCUUCCGCCAUGAGGCUAGCAACCUUAAAAACCUCCAGACGAAGGGAAAGUUGCUUAUCAGGGAACACAAACACCACAUAGCCAACAAGAGAGAAAUGCCGCUAGAUAGGUUUUUGUCCCUAUGAUCAUCAGUGGCGCUUAAGUCAAGGAACACUUUGAGUUCAGCUUCAGACCAGUCAGGACGUCUGAUGGGAAUUCCAUCUGGAUUAUGAGUUGAGCGAAGGGCGAGAAGUCUUUUUUAGGCUUUCGAGGAGGCGGUUUCGAAUACUUUACCUCAGAUCGUGUAACCCAGAAAGAGAUCCAUUCACUUACAGUGAUUUGAGAGUGAUCCAUGCGUUGAGAAACAAUGCGGUAAUCAGGCUGCAAAUAAAUGCUCACAACUUCUUGGACAUACAUCAGGUGAUCCUAUUUAAGUCUUGGUGGCAAGGAAUGCUUUCUUCAUAAAAUCUACCUUUAAUCGGGAGUCCUCCUAGUAUCCAUAAGUCCCAUAAGGAGAUGGACAUUCUCACCAGCUGAGGUGUGAAGAGUGUUUGUUAAAGGACACCAUGCCUCGCAGAAAGCCCGAUCAAUGUCACUGUUGCGAUCAUAUGUAUAUAGGGAAGCCAUCACAGCAUUAAAUAGGGAUCGCUUGAGUACUGCCGUAUUUCUAGCAACAACGAGCUCUAACCACUCCCAAUAAUGAGGAAGAUAGUAAAAUUCUCCAUGUACCUUGAGCACAUUUCCCCAACGAAUUUUUUGGGUCGUUUAUAAUUCGACGACCCAACGUUGAUUCUGGAUCCUCAUUUGGAGGCUUGUUGUGAAUCGAAGACUCCAGAAACCAAGAUUUUAAAGAUGAAUUUGGAUUUACAAACCGUUCCUUGGACCAUUUAGGCAAAAAGAUAAAAUUGUCCUCGAGUAUUUGGGAGUCCAUAAUAUUCUCAUAUGUCCCUCUCUCACAGGAAGAAUGAUCCCUUCCUCUAAAGAUUGAUCUACGUCCUUCAGGAUAAUUAAACACCUUUUGGUCGAGUCAGAAUACUCAGUGAAGUGCACCAUGAUGAAAAGUAGAGUUCCUGCAAAAUAAUAAUAAUAAUAAUAAUAAGAAGUAGAAAAACAAAAAAAAAAACCAAAAAACAAAAGAAAAGAAAAAGAAAAAAAAAGAAAGAAAGAAGAAAAAAAAAGGGUGGGGAAGAAAAAGCAAAUGAAGAUUGAAGCCUAACGAUGACAGAGUCGAUCUCUCCUACUAGGGCGAUAGAUCUGACGGCAAAAGCCCGAUCGUCCCUAGAAGAAGCUCAACAAAGUCAUUUAUGCAAACGAAGAUUGAAGCUCGACGAUGACAGAGUCGAUCUCUCCUACUAGGGCGAUAGAUCUGACGGCAAAAGCCCGAUCGUCCUAGAAGAAGCUCAACAAAGUCAUUUCUGCAAACGAAGAUUGAAGCCCGACGAUGACAGAGUCGAUCUCAACUACUAGGGCGAUAGAUCUGACGGCAAAAGCCCGAUCGUUCCUAGAAGAAGCUCAACAAAGUCAUUUCUGCAAACGAAGAUCGAAGCCCGACGAUGACAGAGUCGAUCUCUCCUACUAGGGCGAUAGAUCUGACGGCAAUAGCCCGAUCGUCCCUAGAAGAAGCUCAACAAAGUCAUUUCUGCAAACGAAGAUUGAAGCCUGACGAUGACAAAGUCCGAUCUCUCCUACUAGGGCGGUAGAUCUGACGGCAAAAGUCCGAUCGUCUCUAGAAGAAGCUCGACAAAGUCAUUCCUGCAAAAAAAAAAAAAAAAAAAACAAAACAAACAAAAACAAAAAACAAAACAACACACAAAAAAAACAAAACAAAAUAAAAAACACACACAAAAAAAAGAGAAAAAAGAGAAAGGGAGAAGAAAAGUUUUCUAUACCUUUCUGCUUAUUGGAUGAGGAAUAAGCGUUGGAUGAGGUAUAAGUGAGUAGGUAUGAGUCUAUUUAUAAGUCCAACAAAUUCAAUUCCUAAAAGGAUUAGGAAUGAUAUUUAAUUAUUUUUUUAAAACAAAUCCAAUUCCUAAAAGGAAUAGGAAUGAUUUUAAAUAUAUAUAUAUAAAGAAAAGAUAAUCCAAUUAUCUUAUUUUAUUUUAAAUUAUUUCAUUUUUUUCUCGAUAAAUCUCAAGUUUAACUUUUAUUGAGAUAUUUAAAAUAUUUAAAAAUUUCAACAUUUUUUUUAAAAAAAAAAUAUAUAUAUAGAUAAAUAUUCUCAAUUUCAAAAUUCAAGUUAAAUUAACUUGCAUAUAUGACCUCUUUUUUAUCAUGAAUUUAAAUCGGAGCCAUAAAUCCAACUUUAUUUAAGAUUGAGGACCUGAUUUUUUAUCUCAAAUUAAAAUUGGUCAUUCCAAAUUCUUAUGCAUCCCAAGAUAAAUUAAGGUACGGUAGAAACAUUAUCCUUAUUUCAAAAUUAAAAUUUUGGUUAUAUUCCAAAUUUUACUUAAAAAAAAAUCAUCAUAUUAAAUUUUUUUAUCCUCAAAUAAAAUUAAGUUGAGAAUAAAACUUUGAAUUUUUUAAGGUUUGACCAUAUUACAACCCUUAUUUUAAAUUUAAAUCAAACUCACGUACUAAAUUCAUAGUUUGAUUAAUUUGAUAUGUUGAAUUGAGUAAAAAAAAAAAGAAGCUCGUACUUUGACUUCAAAUUUAUCUUUUCCGAGAUUCAUUCACCCAUAUACGUGCAUAAAUCUCGAAAAGGGGCAUUUGUUGAAUAAGAAAUUUUGAGACCAAUCACAAGUUGCCACAUCAUUUAUUAAGUUAAUGAUGAAAAGUACAAAUAAUUAAAUUUGGGACUAAUUAAAAUUGACAUAUGCUCCAAACUAAUGAGUUAAAAAUAAAUAAAUUGGUCAUUCUAAUAAUGCCACAUAUUUUUCAUAUUAAUCGUUGGAUUAAGUUAAUCAUUUUUAGUUCAAUUAAAUAUUAUUUACUUGGACUAAGUUCAAUUAAGCCCAAAAAUAAACUUAAUUGAGCCCAAAGACUAAAUAUAACCUAAGUCCAUAUGGUUGAACGCAUGGGGUCUGGUCCAUGGACCAACCAGGUUCAAACCCAUAAAGCCCACCAGUGAACUCUAUAAAUAGAGAAAUUCUCCUCAUUUGUAGGGGUUGGCGAAAAUUUUGAUCGAGAGAGAAUUCUUCCAAGAGCCUAGAAGACUCCCUAACUCCUGAAGUCGACCAUCCUCGAAGAUUGAAGUUUCUUUAAAGAUACAAGCUUUCUUUCAAGGCUCCAACUUCAAGAACAUCACGUGCUUCGCUUCCUCCAAAUCAAGCUAAAGCAUCUAGUUGAGAGAGAAUUAGAGGAUCAAAUUCUAGAGAUUGAACCGCAUCGCAUCAAAUCAACAAAAAUACAACAUCAACCCAAGUUCAAGUCCACGAAUUAAAUUUCUCCGGAAAUCUCGUGCGAACAAGAUGUAUCUUAGACAAAUAUAUAUUUAAUCAUAAUUAUAAUAGCUAGUAGGUUCAAUUUCAUAAGUACGACUUUUUAAUUAGCAAUGUUUUUUCUAAAAUAAAUUGCAACAUGUGUGUUCUCCAAUUAAAAAAAGAGAAAAAAAAAAAAAAAAAGACUAGUAAACACAUCCUUUCUCUUGUUCUCAAACCCAACAUUACAUUAUAUAUAUAGAAUCCAUAUCAAGGCCCUCAAGAGCUUAUAUUGUUUACGUUUUAAACAUAAACAAUGAGAAUUGUUGGGAUUGUUUUUUGGUGGCGCUGGUGGCGACCACCGUGCUUCAAGCAGCGGAGGCGGUGGUGAUUCCGGUCGGGGGUGACAGUGGCUGGAUACGUCCUCCUAAUUCUGACUUCUAUUCCUCUUGGGCCGCGGGUCUAAAGUUUACCGUCGGAGAUAUUUUAGGUUUGGUUCCAUAUAUAUAUAUACACUAAUUCUCUGCUGUUUAAUUCUUUAUUUUCGUUACUGAGGCGUGCUAAUUCGAUUGAUAUAAUAUGUUUAUUAUUAAUUACAUGAAGUUUAAUAUAUCAUUUUCAUCUUUACUAUAAUUUUGCUUUUUACCUAUAUAUUUGCGUGGUCUCUGUCACUCACAUGUGUACUUGAAUAGCAAGAAGAUACAAAACAUUAGAUAAUAUUAAACUGAUUAGUAUAAUAUGGACUUAUUUAAUACUAUACAACAUAAUUUAAUCUCUCAAAUUACAAACUAAAAAGUAAAUUAAUUAAUAGUAAUAUUGGCCUAAAUGAUUAACUUCUUUAAUUUUCUUAAAAUUUCAAAUACUGCUAGAACUGAAACAAAUAUCCUCAAAGUUUUUUGUCUUAUUUUUUUAUUACAACUACUCUGUAUAAAAAUGUUUAGGUCAAUAAUUGUUAAUUAUUCAUUCUUAAAAUUUGGUGGUUGAAUUUCAAACUUCAACGAGGUGAAAGUUUUUUUUCAAAAUUACACUCAAGUAAAAAUUGUUUAUAGUAAUUAAUUUUUGACAAAUAAUAAAUAAAAAAAUAGUAAUUCAAGUUCAAGUUUUGAGUCGUUGUUGUUUCUAUUUCGGUUGCAGUGUUCAACUUUAUGGCGGAGCUCACGACGUGGCCGGAGUGACAAAAGAAGGUUACGACAACUGCAUCACAACCGAUCCUAUAUUCUUAAACACUACAUCCCCUUUUUCUUUCACUCUCGAUAAACUUGACGAUUACUUUUUCAUCUGCACCAUCCCCGGCCACUGCUCCGCCGGCCAGAAAUUGGCCAUCACCAACCUCCAACAAUCGCCCCACCUACCUCUCCCAGUACUCCUCCCGUUCCCGGUAACGAGCCAACACCAACACCACCUGCCUCCCCUGAUUCUCCACCCAUUUCGAAUGAAAUGCCACCGCCCGUCCCAGUUAUUGCUGCUCCGCCGCCACCAAACUCCGCCACCAGUAUUGUGGGCUCUAUAUUCACUGUUGCCUUCGUCUCCAUCGCUGUCAGCUUCAUAAUAUAUUAAUCACUCGUCGUUUUCUUUCUUUGUUUUAGUUAUUAUUAAUGUUUGGCUUAUUACAUAAGAGUUGAGGGGUUUUGUCAACGGCGCUAUUUUCAGUAUUGUAUUGAGAUUUUUAUUUUUAUUUUAAAUUUUAUUAUAGUUUUGCUUUUGGUUUAUGUGAAAAAAUUAUUGGAUGAGAUUGUUAGGUAUAAUGUAGGGUCACAGUUCUUACAUAAUUAUUAAAUAUCUGGCUGUAAAAUAAAUAAAUAAAACUAAGUACUUUAAACUUGUAUUCAAUGUUUUAUUAAAAGGCCAUCCCAGUGAAUAACAUGUAAGUUUCAAGACAUGUUUACAUUUUAGAAAUUGAAAAAAAAAUAAUAAUAACUGGAUUUUUAAAAGAUACCCCAACCAAUAUGAUCAAAACAUCAAUUCAAAAUAACAAAUCCAAUAAAGAAAACAAUUUUGUUUCAUCCGGAAUUUAACUUUUUGUAGUACAAGUGAAAGGGAUGAUUUGAAUCUUAGACUUGUUAAUCCUUAUAUGUAUUCAGAUGACAGUUAAACUAAGCUAUAGUCGACUACGAUACUAUAUUAAUAAAUCAUAAAGCUAACCAUAUAGUUAGCCCCUAAAUUUUGACUUUGAAUAUAACUCAUGAUUACAUAAUUUAUGAAUAUUUAGUUUUUUUAAAAUAUAUUUUAAUUUAAAAAAGUAAUCGAGUUUAUAACUUAAAACACUGGUAUUUACAAAUACUUUUAUCCUUUUUAAUUUUAAAAUUUAAAAUUUGAAAUCCAGAUACAUUAAAAACGUGUCUAAGUUGCAGAGUCUGAUAACAAUUGUCAUAUACCCUUCCCCAAUACUCUAUAAAACUAGAAUGAGAUGUGACGAUAAUAGACCCUAACGAACUAAGUAUGUAAUCCAUUCUCAAAAUGAAAAGAAUAAAAAAUAUAUAACAUUAUUAAAACUAAAAAAAUAUAUCUUUAUUAAAACUUAUAAUGCACAUUAAAUCCAAUAUUGUAAAAUAUAUAUGUACACCACCCAUCAAAAUUUAAAACCAUUUCCAAUACCUUUGCUUUAACUUGAACAUAUGUACAUACAAAUGAAGACAUGCACAAAUAUAUGAGGUUUGGUUUUUUCUUUUUUAAUUUUUACCUUUACUUUUUUUUUCUUAAUGAAAUAAAAAGAAUGUUGAUGUUUGAAUUGGAUGUAAAAAUUCUUCUUCAUUGUCUUUCCUUAUUGAACUUUUCUUUAUUGCUUUAGUCAUAGGAUCUUGGCUCGAUGGUAAUGGAUUGUUUUCCUUAUAAUUAAUUAGUAAAUUUUCUUACCUAUUUGUUGGUCCUUGUUGCUUUUUGGGUGGAAGAUGAACGAGAACAUCUUUUGGUGUGUUGAAUGAUAGACAAUGGUUUUUGUCUGCUUCAUGAGAAGCUGUUGAUCUCAAGAAGAUAGUAUUCUUAUUGAUUUGAUCUUGGAAGACGUACAACUUUUUAUUGACAAGUUGUUCGACACUGACUGUGAAGAGAAUUAGUUGUAGUGUUUAGGGGGAGCCUAACAAUACUAUAGUGUUGGAGUUGAAUAAUCAGGGAGCUUAGUUCUAUCAAAGGAGAGUCAACCAAGUAUUAAACUACUUUCGGGAUAGCCUAAGUGAUCCUUUAGCUUAAUCUUGCAAUUUAUCAAGACUACUUUAGAAAGAUAAGUUGCAUAUACUUGUAAUCCAUAUUAUAUACUCUAGUGAACAUUCUUCUCAAUUGGACAAAGCCUCCAAACAUAGACAAUAUUUCACUUUAAGUGGAUUACCAAGUAUCAUGUGUUAUUUCUUUGUUGUAUUACCGUGUUGAUCCCUUUCUCAAUUGGUAUCAGGAGAUAACCAGAAUGUCUUCAAACUCAUAAACACAUGUGUGUUUCGGCACAAAUGUUUUGGAAGAUUCUUGACGUUGCUCAUGAAGGAACCUUUAAAGUCAAAAUCUCUCAACUUCAAAUCUUAAUAUCUCGAUUUGAGGCUCUAAAAAUGAGGACGAGUCUAUUAUUGAGUAUAAUGUGAAAAUUUUUGACCUUGCAAAUGAAAGCUAGGAAAAAAAUGUAAGACGAAAAACUAGUGAAGAAAGUUCUUUGAUCCCUUCCAAAGAUAUACAAUAUGAAAGUAACAUUCAUUAUUGAAGAAGCCAAUGAUGUAUCCAAAAUGAAACUUAUUGAUUUUUUUUUGUAAAUCCAAUGAGAAUCUAAUCUUCAUUCCUUCAAUUAAGUUGUAGGGGAUUUAAAAUGAAGAGGUUGAUAUAAAAUACAUGAUUUUUUGUAAAUCCAAUGAGAAUCUAAUCUCAUUCCUUCAAUUAAGUUGUAGAGGAUUUGACAUGAAGAGGUUGAUAUAAAAUACAUUAAUUUUGGUAAAGUAUUGAGGAAGUUAUGAAUGUUUCAAGUUUGUUUAGUGAAUCUAGAAAAUUGUGUAAAAAGUAUGAAAUGUGGUUUUAUUUCUUAAGUUUAGAAUUCAUGAGCGACAUUUUUUGUACAUCAUCUUAAACUUAUUAUAGAAAGACAAGAAUAUUCGGGUUCUAAUUCUCGAAUUUGGUUUGCUUGUCAGACCAUGAGGAAAUAGGUUGAGAUUACAAACUAGGAAACUAGUUCGAUCAAGACUAUGAGUGAUAAAACAAUUUUUUCUGACUACAAAUUUAUGAGCUCUACAUGAUUCACAUGACUAAUUUACAGCAUGAGUUUCGAAUUUAAAUUUGUUUAAGGAGUUGUAUAUUAACACAUGAAUAUUGAGUUUCUGUUUAAAGUAUUUGAAACGGUAAUAUUUUAGGCAAAACAUGUUUUAGCAAGUAUUGUUUAAAUUUUCAAGUUUUCUAUAAACAAGCUAAGUAAGGCUUAAGUUUUUACGAAAGAAAUGAUAAGAUGACAUGCUUAAAUAUUUUCGUGAGAUCAUAUUAUGAGUUUUCUAUUGACUACAUGACAGAGAUAUUGAGUUUGAGUCUGUAUGGUACUGUGUGCACAUAGGUUAUAUUCCAUUGUUGACGUUGAAGUUUAGCUCCGUGUCAAUGAUGUUGUCGGAGGUGAUGGGUGAGGCCCACCACGACAAAUAUGAUGGGAGUGAUGGGUGAUGCCUACUACAUCGUCCAGUUGAAGUUAGGGAUUAUGUUGGGAUAAAUUUCUAAUAGGAAAACCUAAUUAGAAAUUUAAUAUGGUUUUCCCUAGAUCAAUAUAUAUAAUGAACAAUGCCCUUUGUUGUUGACUACAUUAAUCACACGUCUAUAUAUCUAACAUAUCUAACAUAUACAAUCAUAGUCACAUAUUAUACAUUAAUCUAAAACGUGGAAUUGCACAAUCAACAUUGGGUUGACAAUCAAUAACACGAAAAUGUAAUUCAUAAUAACAAAGAAAAUCAUAGACAACAAAUAUCAAUCAUACUAUCAAAAUACUCCAAAAAUAAAAAAAAAAAUACAACAAGUUCCUCCAAAAUCCUCAAAACUAAAAAGAACUAAAAUCUUACUUUCUCACAUUAAUGGUAGAAAAGAUAGAGACCCACAUCGUUUUUGGUGGAUUACAAAGUUAAGAUGAAAUCAAACCUAAAAACCAAUAUUAUAGAUGGAUAGAGAGAGAAAAAAACAUGAAGAACAUGACUGACCAUUUGUCCAAAACGACCACCUAGAUCAAAAGAUAUAACCUAAAAAUCAAAGCUACAAAUUUAUAUCUGCACGACAGCGUCGUGGCACUACAAGACGAUGUCAUCCUCAUAGUGUUGCUAUCACAUAAAUGUAAAUUUUGCACCCUUUUCAAUUUUGUCCAAGUCUUGAAGAGAGGAAGUCUCACAUCUAGGGAAAGCUUAACGUUUCUAGAGAGUUAGCUCUACAUAAUUUUCAUGUAAUCUUGAGAGCAUAUAAAUAAAGGAAAUUGCAUCAGAUGACAAAGAAAUUCUUUUUUAAAAAAAAGUAGCUCAUAGUACCUCUUUUUUGCAUAUUGAAUAUAUGUCAGUAUGACAAAUAAUUAGAUAUAUCCAAUGACUAUCAUAGGUAUAUCCACUUUUAAAUUUGAUAUUUUUGCAAUUUAGAAAAUGUAGUGACAUGUGUUCUAUUAUCAUAAUUUUUUUUUGUUAUUUUUGCAAACAUUCUUAUAAAUAAAUACAACUUUAUAAUUGCUUAAUACAUUGAUAUUAAUUAGUAAGACUCUCUCCCUUAGACAUAUAUAUAGUUGUUGUAUCACCAAACUAAGUUAACAAUUCUUGUGUAACAUCUUAUAUUGUACCGAAGAACCGGUCUAAUUUCACAAAAGUUUUCGAACAGUUUUUUAUAAUCUAUAUUUUCCGUUUAUGAAUUAUUAUAAAUCAUUUAAUUCACAGUAGAUUACAAUUUGAUUGGCCAAAUAUAAAUAAAAAUUAAACAAAUGAGAUAAGAAAAGUAAUUAAAGAAAUGGUCGUAUCGAGUUCCGAUCCUUUGCAUACAAGUUCUUCACCCAAUUAGAGCUGUUGUAUAUCACUUCUUCGUUUCCAUUAUUGAAGAUUAACAUAAUCGUACACGUUUUGUCUACUUCGCCAAAUUAUAUAUGUUGUUGAAUACUGACCAACUACAAGUUUGGACCUUGACUUCUUCUUACGGUUCCCACACUACGAAGCAUCUAUAAAAAUCCACCCAUCUGUUAUCUUUUCUUCUCCAUUAUAUAUCCAUUAUCAUCAUUAAAAUAAGAAAAAUGGCUACAAAACUAAUGAGUUUAAGUUCAAUUGCCUGUCUUCUCCUUGUUGGGGCUUUCCUCCAUGUUGCCUCCGCUGUCGACUAUGAUGUUGGUGGUGAUUUCGGCUGGAGCCUACCACCGAACCCCACCUUCUUCUCUGAUUGGGCUCGUAAUAAAACUUUCUUUGUGGGUGAUAAACUAGGUUAGUGAUUCAUUAUAUGCCCUUACUCAUACUCCAUUUUUGUUCGUUAAAUUACACAUUUAAAUUAACUUUUAAUUUCAAAUUUAGUAAGUUAAUUUUAUGUUGUGGUAAAAUUUUAUAAUCGCUCUAUAGUACUAUUAGGUUACUUAUUUAACCUUUGUUUUUCUUUUGUUAAAUAUGAUACAAAAUUAUAUGCCCAUUAACUUUGGGGGUAUGUUUCCAUGAUUCUAUUAUUUGAUGUUAAAAAGUUUCAAUUUGACUAAAAUCAACUUUUAAAUGUGUUCUAAACAAAUACCUUUGAAAAAACUCCAUCAUUAAAAUAAGAUGUAAAUGGGUGCCGUAACUAAUUGUAACAUCAUUUAACUGGUAUAAAAUGAUUCACUUAAAUUAACUUGAUAAUCGUAUACUAAAUGUGUUUUAAUUUAUUGAGAUGAAAUAAAUGAUAACAAUGUAAUUUUAAUCUUGUAUAAUACAUAGGAUUGUUUUCAAAUAGAGCAAAAUAAACAAACUAUCAUUGAUAAAUGUUGAUUAACGUACAUCGAUAGGAUUAUUAAUUAUCAUCAUCUAUCACUCAAAUAUGUGUUUAUCAAUAUCUAAAAUUAUCUAUCAGGAUAAUAUCACAUAGUUUUACACAUCAAUUCUCAUACUUUAAUUUUCUUGAAAAAACUUAAAUUUGAAAAGUUAAAAAUAAAACUUUAUGAAGUAUUGGUUAUACACAAUAGUUAAAACCCAUAACAAUUUAGAUUGUGUUAGGACAUAUUGACCCUCUAAAUAUUUUUAAACACUUAUUUUACAUCUAUAAAUACUUUUUUUGAAGCAUUAAAAAUUGAAUCCGUACACUUAUUUUACAUCUAUAAAUACCUUUUUUGAAGCAUUAAAAAUUCAAUCCAAACAUACGGAUAGUCCCUAAAUUUUGAAUAAGUAAUUCAACUUGGUUAGUAUAUAUUUUGAAAGUCUCUCUAAAAUUUAGAUUCCAAUAUUUUUGAUAAUUUAUUUAAAAAAUUAUUUCUAUUUAACUUGUUCAUUGUAAAAAGAUUUUUAAACUUGACCAAUUUUUUUUUUAAUAAUAUCUAAAUUGUUACAAAUCAUAUAAUACAUGAACAAGUAUUUACCAACGAAAAUAAGAGAACUAUAAAUUGUUUUUGUGUGCAGUGUUCCGAUCAAAAGCGUCAGAGACCCAUGAUGUGGCAGAGCCUGAUGGGCAAGUAGAUUUGGAUGGAUGUGUGGAGCCAGGAAUUAGUUUAAGUACAUCUGCUGUGUUAUCUAUUUCACUUGAUUCUCCACGUCGCCGUUACUUUAUUUGUACUAUUGGGAAUCAUUGUAAUGCGGGUAUGAAAUUUGCUGUCGACGUUUUUAUAAACCCCAACUCUGCCAUGCCGCCACCGCCCAGCUCUGCCUCUUCCUUAAGAUUUGGUGCAGUUUUGGCUGCAGCCAUGGCUGGAUUGUUCUUUCUUUUAACCAUAUGAUUGGUUAGCUUUAUUGUUGUUUCAUUAUUUUUUCUCCUUUUUAGAUCAUCUUGUGUGUGUUUCUAUCUUGUUCUAUUAUUUUUGUAGCUGUCUAAUUGUUUGAAUAAAUACUAUUGUAAUAUACUCCAUCAUAUAUGGUUAUCCAUUCUUUCUCUCUUUAUAAACAUAAUAAAAAAGAUUAAUAGAAAUGUAUAUUUGAAAGUAUAUAUAUUAAAUUAGUGCUGACACCAAAAGUCCAUGAUUAAAUUGUUAAUUUUAUAAAAGUUUAAGAAUAAAAAGGAUUCUUAACAAAAUAUUAAAAAUAUAAGAAAUAUAAGUCAUCACACAAAUCAUAGAUAUGUUUUCGUGCUAUAAAUUCUAUUGUUUUUUUACUUUUGAAUGUCUGAAUUUAGUCAGUAAUUAACCCAUAAAAUUAUUUGGAAAAUAUCUUUACAUUAAUAAAUUACUUAUUUAUCGUUCAAUUAAUACUUUUUAAAAUUGUAUUUUCUAAGAAAGUAUAUUUUAAAUUAAGGAAAAUUUUUAAAAAUAGUAGAUUUUACAAAAUAUUUACAAUCUAUAACAAAUUCUAUCACCUAUAGUCAUUGAUAUGUUAUAGUAAUAGAAAACCAUUAGUAAUAGAAUCCCAAAUUUUGCUAUAGCUUAUAAAUAAUAUUUUAAUUUAUUUUACUAUUUUACAGAAUGUUCCUUCAAUUAAUAAAAUUACGUGUGAUUAGUAGCUAAAUUAUUAAUGAAUGCAAAUGUUGGCCUAUGUGACCAAAAGAAAAGUCAAAAGUCAUUACUUUUGAAACUCAACUAUUACCAUUGCAAUCUAAUUUUAAAUGGUUUUAAUUUACAAAAUUUUCAAAUGGAAAACACAUGCAUUUUUAUUUAUAAAAAAUAUAAUUUGGUCCACUUUAUAAUUAUUGAAAACCGACUCUCAUCUCGACCAAAGAAACUUCUACGAAUUUACAUUAACAAUUCAAAGUCAUAAUUGCCACAAAUUAUUUAAGUUGUAACCAAUAAGAAACUUGACUAAGUGACCAUUGAUUCAUAGAAUAAAGUAUAAUUUGUUAUUACAAGUCAUGUUGAAACAGCUACCAAGUUGUCAAGUAUUUGUUCCUUUCUUAUUGCCUGUGGCACGUCGGUCGUGGUAUUAUAUGUGACAUUGUUGCAUGCAGAUAGAAAAAUGCAAAAAUAACAUGUCCCUACAUUUUAUAAAUUGCAAGGGUAUCAAAUUUAAAAAGACGUUAACCCUAUGAUUAGUGUCUGAUAGCUCUCCGCUAGCGCUAUGAUUACCGUCUGAUAUCAUUAAUUUUGUCAUAUUCGCAAUAUGCAAAAGAAAAUAAGUGUCAUUAGCUAUUUUUUCUAAAUGAUUUUUUGUUAUUUGAUGCAAUUUCCUAGAAAAAUCUGGAUAAUUUUUUUCCUUAUCUAACAACAUUUUUAAAUUUUUUUGAUUUACUAUAUUUUUUUCCCCGUAAAGAGUUGAUUUAUUAUUUUCUUUAAUAUAGUCUCAACCAUUCCAAAACAUAUGUUAUAUGAUUUAAUUCGAUUUUAGGGUUGGUGGUUUGGAAGAAUAUUGAAGUGCAGAUUAUUUUGUGUUUAUGUCAAACUACAUAAGUGUGUCAAUCUAUGACAUUGAGGAGUUUUUAUCAUUGUAAGAAAUAAAAAAUAUACUGAAUGGUUAUAUAAUCUAUGUAUAUAUUGGUAAAGAUACGUGCAGUAAGAAAAAAUUACAAAACAUGAAUAAUAAUGUGUAUGUAUUAUUGAUGUUGUAAUAUAUAUGUGUAACAAAUCACAAAACAUAAAUUUAAUAUUCAGCGGUAUACCAUAGUAUAUAUAAAUGACGGGACAUUUAAUAAAAAUCAUAUGUCGAAUAUGACAGGAAGAUGAAUUGAAUAAUAAAAAAAUUAAACAAAAUAGAAAAAACAAUCAACAUAUUUGCUACAAAAUGGAAGAAGAAAGAACAAAUGACCAUAAUUUUUUUCACAUAAUGUUCACAGACGAUAAAAAUAAUGAGAUAAUGUUAUAUUUAAUUAUCAAAUUAUUCCAUAUUAUAGAAGAUUUCAUUUUAUAUUGAAUUAAUAAAAUAUUUUAAAUUAAUUUCCAUAAUAAAUUUAUACAUUAAUUAAUAGGCCAAAUAUGAAAGCUAAUAAUUUGAGUAUAAUCUACUUAAGGAAAUAAUUUGAAUUUUAUUUUAAAAAUUAUAUGUAAUUAAUAAAUAUGAUAAGGUUAUAAUUGUCGUGAAAAUAUGAAAACCUAAUCAAGGAAAUAAAUCAUAAUUUAGGUUAUUUGUGAAAUUUCCUAAUAGAUUUAGGUCAUUUGUCUACAUUUUUUUUUAAUUUAGAGAUUUCCAUGAUAGAGUCAUCAAGUAGUCUUGAUGAAGUUAUCUUGACUCCAUUUUUUUUGUUAUGUCUAAGAUAACAUGUUAGAUAAGUGAAAUCCUAUCAUUCACACUAUAAAUGAUUAAUCAUUUUGAGUCAUGAAUUAACUAUUAAAUACAAAUACUUCGUCCACCAGAUCAGAUAUUCUAAAUCACUGAGUAUGCAUGUGAAAAAACUUCAUUUUACAUUUGUAAAGAAAGCUGUAUUCCAACAACCUUAGUUGCUCUUUCCCUAAUUCCUUUAUUUUUUGUAAACACCUAUAUUUAUAAAGGUGUGUUCAUAAAGCAAACUAGUUUUUAGUUUUACAAACACACUUCAUCAAUCUAAAAAAGCACAUAAAGAUAUAUAGGAAACAAGCACUUCUGUACUCAUCUUUAAUAACAAAGAAAUAGAUCCUUUCCCGUGGAUGUAGGCUUCAAUUUGGCCGAACCACGUAAAUCAUUGUAGCAUCCUUCUUCUUCUCCUUCGUCUUCGUAUUGUUGCCAACUUCAUACACUCAAAAUCACAAUAGAGAAACACAUUAGGGUUUGUUAGCAAAAGAGAGGAAAAACGAAGAAGAUGAACAACAAAGAAAAGGUGAAAUAAUUCUCUCUCUCUUUUCAUUUCGUAUUUCUUUUCUCUCAUAACAUGCAGAAAUAAAAGAGACCUACCUCCUCACGCAUGUACAGCCGUUAAGCAAAUAACGUGGCUCUAUCUCCUCCAAGUAUUAUAGCAACCUGAAAAAUAAAGGUUCAAAUAGAAAUUAUAAAUAAUGGAAAAGGCCCAACAAUUGGUAUCAGGGCGAAUCUUGAUUUCAAGAAACUGAAUCUUGGAGGAAAUUAAAGCUAGAUAGACCUGAAUAAUGGCAGUGGCAAGAGUGGAAAUCGAGAAGUUCGAUGGAAAGAGAGACUUUGCCUUAUGGAAGGCAAAGAUUAAGGCCUUGUUAGGACAACAAAAAGCUCACAAAGCCCUUCUAGAUUCUUCAGAACUUCCAACAACCCUCACAGCAGUACAAAAUGAAGAAAUGAAAUUAAAUGCCUAUGGAACACUAAUACUAAACCUUAGUGACAAUGUUAUAAGGCAAGUACUAGAAGAAGAGACAACACACAAAAUUUGGAAGAAAUUAGAAAGUCUAUAUGCCACUAAAGAUCUCUCAAACAAGAUGUAUCUAAGGGAAAAAUUCUUUACAUAUAAAAUGGAUCCUUCCAAAAGUUUAACAGACAACUUAGAUAAGUUCAAGAAAAUAGUUUCAGACUUUAAAAGUCUUGAAGACAAACUCAGUGAUGAUAAUGAGGCAUUCGUUCUCCAAAAUUCUCUACCCGAGGCAUACAAAGAAGUGAAAAAUUCACUAAAGUAUGGUAAAGACUCAGCCAAAACAGAUGUCAUAAUAUCAACCCUAAGAACCAGAGAAUUGAAAAUACAGUUAUCUCAUAAGGAACAUCAAAGUGGAAAUGGUUUGUUUGUCAAAGGUAAAUCCCAAAACAAUCAGGGUAAAAAUAGUAGCAAAUCCUCCUCUUAUGAAGAUAAGAAAGUUAAACAAAAAGAGAAGUGUAAAUAGAGUAAAAAGAAGGGACACCUUCAAGAGUGUUUUUUCCUUAAAAGAAAUAUCAAGAAAAAGAAAAAGACUUAAAAGGAAAACAACCAUAAGCCUUCAUAGUAGAAAUAUCAUUUACCUACACGGAUGCCCUGACAUCAACCUUAGACCAAGCCAAUUAUGUUAACCCCUUCCGAAAACGUGAUUGGGUCCUAGACUCAGGAUGCACCUACCAUAUGACACUUUUUAGAGCAUGGUUCAAUACCUAUAAAGAAAUCAGUAGAGAGUCUGUGUUUAUGGGGAAUAAUAAUGCUUGUAACAUUGCUGGAAUUGGAUCGGUCACCAUGAAACUAAAGGAUGAGACUGUAAAUCUCCUUAGAAAUGUAAGACAUGUUCCUCACCUUAAAAGAAACUUAAUCUCCUUGGGAAUGCUAGACUCUCUAGGAUGCGAAUACAAAGGAAAAUGUGGAGUCUUCCAAGUUUUCAUGGACUCUAAAGAAGUAUUGGUUGGGGGAAAAGGUAAAUGACCUGUUUAUAAUAAAAGGGGUUGAAAUGAUAGAUGAAGCAAAUAUUGUAUUAGCUCUAAACUUAACAGAGGAUGACCUUUGGCACAAAAGACUGUCUCAUAUAAGUCAGAAGGGACUUGAGGCUUUAUCUAAACAAGACAUUCUACCUUUAGACAUAUGCAGUAAACUGUCUUUCUGUGAACACUGUGUGCUAGGCAAAGCAAGGAAACAAAGUUUCACCAAAGCACAACACACAACUAAAGGAAUUCUAGACUAUAUCUAUCCAGAUUUAUGGGUCCAACCCCAACUCCAAGCCUAAGAGCUCAAGGUAUUUCUUAUCAUUUACUGAUGAUUUUUCAAGAAAAAAUUGGAUUUAUUUUAAAAAAAAAGAUCAAGUUUUUGAAAAUUUUAAAAAUGAAAACUAAUGAUAGAAAAACAAACUGAUAAAGAGAUUAAAUACCUUAGAGCUGACAAUGGUUCGGAGUUUUGUGGAGAGGUGUUCAAUCAUUUUUGCAAGGAAAGUGGAAUCACAAGACACAAAAAUGUGAGAUACACACCUCAACAAAAUAUGGUGGCAGAAAGACUUAACAGAACUAUAAUGGAAAAGGUAAGAUGCCAACUAUCAGAUGUCAUUCUGGAAGAAAAGUUUUGGGUUGAAGUUGCUGCCUAUGCGGUGUACACAUUGAAUAGAAGCCCCAUACCUCCUUAGGACUCUUAACACCUGAGGAGAAAUGGUCCAUCUAAAUGAUCUUUAGGUGUUUGGAUGUGUAGGGUAUGUCCAUCAAAACUAAGGGAAACUAAAGGCUAGAGAUGUUAAGUGUAUGUUUGUUGGCUUCACAGAAGGGGUAAAGGGUUUCAAGUUGUGGCACACUAACAAGAAGUUCAUAAUUAGUAGGGAUGUUCAUUUCAGAGAAACUGAGAUGUUUAUGCAAGGGAAAGGUAAUACUAAAAGGAGCACUGAAGCCACAAAAACCUAUACUCAGAUUGAACUGGAGAAUGCUAGAAACGGUGCUCAAUUUACUAAGAAAACUAAAGUUAUUGAUCAAGAAAUAGAUGGAGAACAAACUAAAAUAGUUAAAGAACAAUCUAACUUGAGCCAAUAUUCCUAGCAAGAGACAGACAAAGAACGGUAAUUAUUCCUUCAAUCGGUAUGCUGAAACUAACUAUAUAAGUUUUUUUCUAAACGUUACUAUAGCUCCCAGUGAUAAUGAACCUAGUUCUUUUGAGGAAGUUAAGCUGUAAUGAUGCUAGACGGUGGAUUGAAGCCAUGAAUGAAGAAAUAAAUUCUCUAAAGGUAAAUGACACAUGGACCCUUAUCCCUUUACCUAAGGAAUGCAAACCAAUAGCAUCUAAGUGGAUCUAUAAACUCAAGGAAGGAGUCACUGAACUCACUACCAAGGUACAAGGCAAAGUUGGUAGCUAAGGACUUUACUCAAAGAGAAGGUAUAGACUAUUCUGAAAUUUUCUCACCAGUUGUUAAACAAACCUCUAUUAGACCUCUCUUAUCCCUAGUUACUUAAUAUAAUCUAGAGUUGGACCAACUUGAUGUAAAGGCAGCCUUCCUUCAUGGCUAUCUAGAUGAAACAAUUUACAUGGUUCAACCUAAAGGUUUUGAAGUUCAAGGUAAGGAAGACCUCUAUUGCUUACUAAAGAAGUCAAUAUAUGGACUGGAGCAAUCACCUAGGUGCUGGAUCUUAUGGUUUUAUAUCCAGACUGAGUUUUAAUAGAAGCUCAUACAAUAUGUGUGUCUACAUAAACUCAACAACCUAUAAGGAGAUGGUUUUCUUUCUACUGUAUGUCGAUGAUAUGCUCCUUGCCAGAAGCUCUAAGGAAGAUUUAACUCAUGUCAAAACUCUUUUAAGUAAAGAAUUUUACAUGAAGGAUUUAGGUGAAUCAAGAAAGAUCCUAGGAAUUGACAUCACAAGAGACAAAAACCAAUCCAUACGAAGCAUAAGUCAAUCAACCUACUAUGAGAAGGUGAUCAGAAGAUUCAACCUCACCACUGCUAGACCAAUCACACUUCCUAUUGCACAAUAUUUUAAACUAUCAGCCGCUAAUUUUCCUAGUGAGACAGACAUAGAGCACAAACUAUUAGAAAUUAAUAAGCUAGAUACAUUAUGGAUAACACAUUAAUAGAUACAUUUCUAGUUUCAAGAUACAUAUGCAUUUCUAGAUACAUGUAAUUAUUCAAGUACAUGAAUGGUAUGUAUUCAUGUACUUCAUUUAUUUUGUGUCUUUUAGGAAGUGUCUCUUGAAUACUAUAUAUAGAGAUCAUUUCCUUCAUUUGUAUACAAGAUAAAAGAAUCAAAUCAAUAGAAGCAAAUUGAGUUUUAGAAAGUAAGUGAGUUUCAAGAGAACAACAUUCUUCUCUUGUGUGUUAUUGAGUUUUCUAAGAGAACAAAUUUCUUCUCUUAAAAGUUUGUGAGAUUUAGAGUAAAUUUAGAGUGGGCUCGUCAACGCCUCCAACAAAGUGGUAUCAGAGCAAGGAUUGAAAGAUGUCAUCUAACAUGUUGCAGCCUCAACUUCCUCGUUUUGAGGGAAAAAACUAUAGGCGGUGGAGCCAGCAAAUGAAGGUUCUUUAUGGAUCUCAAGAUCUUUGGGAUAUUGUUGACAUCGGAUAUUCAGAGCCAGAAAGUGAGAAUGGUCUUUCAGCACAACAACUCAAUGAGUUGAGAGAUGCUAGAAAAAAGGAUAAGAAGGCAUUAUUUUUCAUCUACCAAUCUGUGGAUGAAAAUAUUUUUGAAAGAAUAUCAGGAGUCUCUACUGCUAAAGCAGCAUGGGAUGCAUUGCAAAAUUUGUAUGAAGGAGAAGAAAAGGUAAAAUUGGUCCGAUUACAAACACUUCGAGCUGAAUUUGAUACAAUUCGAAUGAAAGAUUCUGAAACUAUUGAAGAAUUUUUCAACCGUGUUCUCUUAAUUGUUAAUCAAUUGAGAUCAAAUGGAGAAACAAUUGAAGAUCAAAGGAUUGUUGAGAAGAUUCUUAGAAGCAUGACUAGAAGAUAUGAGCAUAUUGUUGUAGCAAUUGAAGAAUCCAAAGAUUUGUCAACUCUCUCUAUAAAUAGCUUAAUGGGAUCUCUUCAAUCUCAUGAGCUCAGAUUGAAGAUGUUUGAUUCUAAUCCUUCAGAAGAAGCUUUUCAUAUGCAGUCCUCCUAUAGAGGUCGAUCCAAUGGAAGAAGAGGUGGACGUGGUGGUAGAGGCAAUGGACGAUCCAACGUUGUAACAAAUACAGAGUCAGAAAGCAGAGACAAUCAAUUUUUUCAAAUAGAGGACGAGGAAGAAGUUCAAAUAGAGGAAGAGGUAGAAGUGGUGGUCGUGGAGAUUUUUCUCACAUACAAUGUUUCAAUUGUAGACGUUAUGGACAUUUUCAAGCAGACUGUUGGUCUAAGAAGACUAAUUCUAAUCAAGCAGAAACCACACUAAUGCAUGAGCAAUCAAAUAAUGAUCAAGGUCUUCUCUUCCUCACUCUCAAUGUUCAAGAAUCAAGCACUGAAGAAAUAUGGUAUCUUGAUAGUGGUUGUAGUAACCACAUGACAGGAAGAAAGGAUAUUUUUAUAUCUUUAGAUGAAUCUCAUCAAAAUGUAGUGAAGACUGGUGACAACAAGAUGCUUGAAGUCAAAGGAAAAGGAGAUAUUCUUGUCAAGACAAAAAUGGGAGCAAAAAAAAUUACUGAUGUGUAUUAUGUUUCAGGUCUCAAACACAAUCUUUUAAGUGUUGGACAACUUCUCCUAAGAGGACAUGAUGUUAUUUUUAAAGAUAACAUAUGUGAGAUUAGAACCAAGAAUGGAGAUCUCAUAACGAAGGUUCGUAUGACUCACAACAAAAUGUUUCCAAUUAAAAUAUGUUAUGAGAAGCUUGUUUGUUUUGAGACUUUAGUAAAUGACACCUCAUGGUUAUGGCAUUGUCGAUUUGGGCACCUAAGUUUUGACACUUUGUCUCACAUGUGUCAACAACAUAUGGUGAGAGGAAUGUCAAAUAUUAAAAAGGAAGAUCAACUCUGUGAAGCAUGUGUUUUCGGAAAGCAUCAUCGAAAUUCAUUUCCGACUGGAGGUUCUUGGAGAGCAUCAAAACCACUCGAGCUUGUUCAUACAGACUUAUGUGGACCUAUGAGAACUACUACACAUGGAGGUAACCGUUAUUUUCUCACAUUUAUUGAUGACUACAGUCGAAAAACAUGGAUUUAUCUACUAAAAGAAAAGAGUGCUACUUUCGAAUGUUUCAAGACAUUCAAAGCAAUGGUGGAAAAUGAAAGUAACUUGAAAUUGAAAUCAUUGCGUUCGGAUCGUGGAGGAGAAUAUAUUGUUUUUGCAGAUUUCUUGAAGGAAAAUGGAAUCAAGCAUCAGAAGACUGUUCGAAGAACUCCUCAACAAAACGGAGUUGCAGAGAGGAAAAAUAGAAUAAUAAUGGAACUUGCAAGAAGUAUGUUGAAGGCAAAGAAGCUUCCUGAUCAAUUUUGGGGAGACGCAGUAACUUGUGCUGUUUAUCUCCUAAAUAGAGCUUCAACGAAAAGUGUGCAAGGUAUUACUCCUCAAGAAGCAUGGAGCGGAUUGAAACCAACCGUUAGUCACCUAAGAGUGUUUGGGUGCAUUGCUUACUCUCACAUUUCAGAUGAGAAAAGAGGUAAGCUAGAUGAUAAAUCAGAGAAAUGCAUUUUUGUUGGGUACAGUGAGAACUCUAAGGCCUACAGACUAUACAAUCCGAUAAGUAAGAAAGUUAUUAUUAGUCGAGAUGUCAAGUUCGAUGAAGCAAAAUUGUGGCAAUGGAAUGCACCAAAUGAAGACCAAAAUCCAUUACAUGUUGAUAUGGAUGGAAAAAAAGAUGCUCGAGACUUGGAGCUUGAAGUAACUCAACCACUGACUUCACCUUCUUCAUCACACUCCACAAGUGAUGAAGAAACUACUCCAAGGAAGACCAGAAAUAUUCAAGAGAUCUAUAAUACUUCAAGAAGGAUACUAGAUGAAGAACAUGUUGAUUUUGCUUUAUUUGCAAAUGUUGAUCCUGUAUACUUUGAAGAAGCAAUUCAAGAUGAAAAUUGGAAAGAUGCAAUGAAUCAAGAGAUUGAUGCAAUAAGAAGAAACGAGACAUGGGAGUUAGUAAAAUUACCAGAAAAUAAAAAGGCUCUUGGAGUCAAAUGGAUCUAUAGAACAAAGCUAAAGCAAAACGGAGAAGUGCAAAAAUACAAAGCCAGACUCGUUGUAAAAGGUUACAAACAAAAGUUUGGUGUGGAUUAUGAAGAAGUUUUUGCACCGGUAACUCGCUUGGAGACUGUUCGUUUGUUGUUAGCCCUUGCAGCAAAAAAUAACUGGAAAGUUCAUCAAAUGGAUGUAAAGUCAGCAUUCCUAAAUGGGUAUUUAGAGGAUGAAAUAUAUGUUGAGCAACCCCCCGGUUAUGCAAAGAUUGGAGAAGAAAAUAAGGUGUGUCGAUUAAAGAAAGCCUUGUAUGGGCUAAAGCAAGCACCAAGGGCUUGGUACAGUCGCAUCGACAAUUUUUUCUUAAAGGAUGGUUUCAGAAGAUGUCCAUAUGAACAUGCUCUCUACACCAAAGAAGAUGAAAAUGGUAAUUUCUUGAUAAUUUGUCUAUAUGUUGAUGAUUUAAUAUUUACGGGCAACUCAAAUAUGAUGAUUGAAGAAUUCAAAGAGAGCAUGAAAAAGGAAUUUGAGAUGACUGAUAUGGGUUUACUUCAUUAUUUUCUUGGUAUUGAAGUUAAACAAGGUGAUAAUGAGAUUGCAAUUUUCCAAAAGAAGUAUGCAAAAGAUUUGUUGAAAAAGUUCAAAAUGGAGAAUGCUUAUCCUGCCAGUACUCCUAUGGAAUUGGGUUUAAAGUUAAGUAAGCAUGAUGUUAGUGAAGCUUUUGAUGCCACCAUUUAUAGAAGUUUGGUUGGAAGUUUAAUGUAUUUAACUACAACUAGACCUGAUAUUAUGUUCUCGGUCAGUUUAUUGAGUAGAUUUAUGACAUCACCAAAGAGAAGUCAUUGGGAAGCUGGAAAGAGAGUUCUUAGAUACAUUCUUGGAACUGUUGAUCAUGGAAUCCACUAUAAAAGGAAUGUGGAUAAUGUUCUUGUUGGCUACAGUGAUAGUGAUUGGGGAGGAAAUAUUGAUGAUUUCAAAAGUACUUCUGGGUAUGUAUUUAAUAUUGGUUCUGGAGCAGUUUCAUGGGCAUCAAAGAAGCAAGAUGUUGUAGCAUUGUCCACAACAGAAGCUGAAUACAUUUCUUUGUCUGUUGCUAGUUGUCAAGCACUUUGGCUAAGAAAUGUACUACAUGAAUUGAAGUGUCCUCAAGAGAAAGGGACCAUCAUGUUCUGUGACAAUCAAUCAUCUAUUUCACUUUCGAAGAAUCCCGUUUUUCAUGGAAGAAGCAAACACAUAAACAUCAAAUAUCAUUUCAUCAGAGAAUUGAUCAAAGAUGGAGAAGUAUAUAUCAGGUAUUGCAAGACUCAAGAUCAAGUUGCAGACGUAUUCACAAAAGCAUUAAAGACAGAUUCAUUCUUGAAAAUGAAAGAGAAGCUCGGAGUUUGGGAAGUCUAGCUUAAGGGGGCAUGUUAGAAAUUAAUAAGCUAGAUACAUUAUGGAUAACACAUUAAUAGAUACAUUUCUAGUUUCAAGAUACAUAUGCAUUUCUAGAUACAUGUAAUUAUUCAAGUACAUGAAUGGUAUGUAUUCAUGUACUUCAUUUAUUUUGUGUCUUUUAGGAAGUGUCUCUUGAAUACUAUAUAUAGAGAUCAUUUCCUUCAUUUGUAUACAAGAUAAAAGAAUCAAAUCAAUAGAAGCAAAUUGAGUUUUAGAAAGUAAGUGAGUUUCAAGAGAACAACAUUCUUCUCUUGUGUGUUAUUGAGUUUUCUAAGAGAACAAAUUUCUUCUCUUAAAAGUUUGUGAGAUUUAGAGUAAAUUUAGAGUGGGCUCGUCAACGCCUCCAACACAAACUACAUAUGGAAAAUGUACCCUACAGUCAUAGAGCACAAACUACAUAUGGAAAAUGUACCCUACAGUCAAGCAUUAAGAAGUUUAAUGUACUUGAUGAUCUCCACUAGAACUAAUCUAUCCAAUUCAGCAAGCCUAGUCAGCAGAUAUAUGGCUAAUCUUGAAAAACGGCACUAGAAAAAACUAAAUGGAUAAAGAGAUACUUAAUCUAGUCCAAGUCUACUAAAAUAAACUAUCAAAGGUCCACUAAGUCAGAACUAUAACUGAUUGGUUAUGUGGACUCAGACUUUGUCAGUGACAGUGACAAAAGAAGAAGUUUAAUCGGAUAUGUUUUCCUCUAUGACCCUAAUCUAAUUAGUUGGAAGCAACCCUACAAUCUAUUGUUGCUCUCUCUCAACUACAGAAGCAGAAUACAUAACAUUAGCAGAAGCUGUAAAAGAAGGAUUAUGGCUUAAAGGACUGAUGAAGGAGUUUGGAAUCAAACAGUGGAUUGUAAAAAUCUCCUGUGACAACCAAAGUCCCAUUCACCUAUCAAAAACCCACAAUACCACAGCCAAACAAAGCAUAUAGACAUAAAAUACCACUUUAUACGAGGAAAGAUUGAAGCUUACCAAGCCGGUCUCAACAAUGCAGCUCCAGAAGUUCCUCUAGCUGGUAGGUUUCAACCUACCUGAAAAAGAAUAGAUCAGAAAAAGAAGAGUAAGAUGGAAGGAUCACUAUCACAUGUUUAAGUUGGAUUCAAGGUGGAGAUUGUAAAGAAAACUGAAUUCCAACAACCUUAGUUGCUCUUUUCCUAAUUUUUUUUUUUUUUUUUUUUUUUUUUUUUUGUAAACACCUAUAAAUUUAAAGGUGUGUUCAUAAAGAAAACUAGUUUUUAGUUUACAGACACACUUCAUCAAAUUAUAUAUGUUGUUGGAUGUUGACCAACUACAAGUUUGGACAUUGACUUGUUCUUAUAUUGUUCCCGGACUACUUAAAAACAUCUAUAAAAAUCUACUCUUUCUGUUAUUUUUUCCUCUCAGUUAUUCAUCAUCAUCAUAAAAAUGGCUACAAAAUUAAUGAGUUGGAGUUCAAUUGCUUGUGUUUUCCUCGUGGGAGCUCUCCUACAAGUCGUUUACGGCUUUGAUUAUGAUGUUGGUGGCGAUUUCGGUUGGAACGUUCCACCAAUACCCACCUUCUUCUCCGAUUGGACUCAUAAUAAAACUUUCUUUGUUGGUGAUAAACUAGGUAGCUGCUUAAUUAUACCCUAAGACUACUUUUUGUUUGUUUCUAUUACAAAUUUAAGUAAAUUUAAAAUAAACCAUAUAUUAUGUUUUACAAUAAAAAUUAAAUCAUAUCGUACAAGUGAGAAAUACAUAAACUAAAUCAUUAUCGACAAGAAUGAGAGAUUCCUUGUUUUAUAGUUUGAUAUAUGUGUGGUUUGUUUUAUGUACAGUAUUCAAUCAAACUCGUCGGAGUUCCAUGACGUGCAGAGCCUGAAAGUCAAACGGAUUUUGAUGGAUGUGUGAAACCAGGAAUUAGUUUAAGUACAUCAUCUGCCAUGUUAUCUGUUCUACUUGAUUCUCCCCGUCGUCGUUACUUCAUUUGUACAAUUGGCAAUCAUUGUAACGCGGGUAUGAAAUUUACUGUCGACGUUUUUGUAAACCCCAACUCUGCCUUGCUGCCACCGCCGCCGCCGCCGCGAGCUCCGCUUCUUCCUUGAGAUUUGGUGCAGUUUUGGCUGCAGCAAUGACUGGAUUGCUCUUUCUCGUAACCAUAUAGUUAGUUAUUGUUUAUUGCUGUUUCAUUAUUUUUCUCGUUUUGUGAUCAUGUUGUGUGUGUUCCCAUAUUGUUCCAUUGGUUUUUGUAGAUGUUUCUUAUUGUUUGAAUAAAUGCUAUUGUAAUAUUCAUCAUAUAUUUAUGUAUUAUUCUUUUCUUUCUUUUCUUUUUUAAAUAAGUUAUUAGAAUGUAAUGUUUGGGCAAUUUGAAAAAGUUUAUAAACAAUUAUUAGGUAAGGCCUAAUUUACAUGUUUGGUAAAGUUUAUAUAUAUAAACUCAAUUAUUCCCAACUUGGAGUAGUUCAUGAAUUAAAUGACUACUUUCCUAAAGUUUAGGACUAAAAAAUAUUGAAAAUUAAGAAUGAAUAUGUCACACAUAAACAAAAUAUCUUGACAACUUUAGAGACAACAUUAGAAUAACAAAUUAUAUUAUAAAUGAAGAGUGAACACGUAGAGAUUUGUAAAUUUGUUCGGUGAUAUUCACAUACGUUCUGGCGGUAGCGUAUCAGAGAAUUAGAUAAUUCAAUUCACUAAUAUUUAAGAGUCCAGUGUUUACAACACGUAGGUAUGUGUGUGUGUAUAUAUAUUUGAAAAGUCACGAGAUUUAUAAUGAUACACAUAUAGAGCCUAACUCAAUAAUCACUUAGACUCCAUUAGAUGUGAGAUAGACUCCUCCUUAAUCGAAUUUAAGCUCCUCUGCAUAUGCAAAUUAGUAAAGAACACUCCAAGUUGUCUAGUUUAUAAAACUCCCACUCUCUUUUAAUGUUAUCUUUUUACCUCUAUUGUGAAGAUGUUUCACUAAUGAACCAAAGUUGGAGACCUCCAUUUUGUGUAAUGAAAGUCUCAGGCUUCCUCUAGCACCAUGAAAACUUCUUAUUCUUAAAUCUUCAACAAAUGUUUCGUAUGAUUAUUGAAUGUAGAUCAACGACAACACAAUGAGUAUUAUAUUAAACUGCCACCACAAAAACACAAGAAUUCCAAACCGCAGUAAAUAGAAGUGACAGCUUUAACAGUGUAAAGAUUUAUACAAACAAUAAUAGGAACAAUAAUGGAAAAGGAAAACAACCAUAAAUAACGAAAAUAGCUAUACAAAAAAUUUCAAAUAAGGAAACAUAAACUAGAAGAAUGGCACAACUUGUGUGACAUCUUUUGUGUCAACGUCUAUGACAACAUGUGAUCAUCCAUGAAACCAAAAACUAUUAACCUUAGACAAGUACGGAAAACUCUAACGGCAACAUCUUUAAUUAUAUGUUGAACUUUGCAUUAUUUUCUAGUUGACAUAUCUCUUCUCUUUUGACGUAUAUACUACUUUAAAUUGUGUUGUGUUGUAAGGUUGUUUAUGAUUUUCAUAAGUAUUAUAGUCAUAAUUGUUUUUAGAAGUAACGAAAAAUAAAAAUUUCAAUCUUUCUGCUCCAAGGAAGGAACAAUUCUUGCUCUUUUUUAACCAUGUUUAGUUUGGUCCAUAUAUAUAGUUAGAAUUUAUUGGAUAAAAAUUUGAGCUUUCAAACUAUGAAAAUAAAAUCUAAUGAUAAAUAAAUCAAAUCCCAACAUUAAGCAUUAAAAAAAAACUUUGGAUAGGUUCCCAAAAUUAUAGUCUAAUAUAUGAUGUGUUGAUAUUUUUCAUGACUGACUAUUUGACUUUGACCCUUCAAAGUUUGAGACCACCAAUGCCCCACUGGACCUUAAUGGCAUUGAUUCAAAUUUCAAUCAAACAUAAGUGUUUUAAUUUAGACAGUAAACAAUUCGUAACUAUUUUUAAUUCCUUUCAUUAUUUAAAUUGAUUUAUUUAUAAAAAACGUAAGAGAGUUUAAUUAGAAAACUUAUUAAUUUAAGACUUUUAGAUGAUUCGUAUAAAGAUAUAGAGACAUAAAUUAAUAUUUCUUCAAAUUUAAACAAAGUAAUUUAAAAGUUUAAAUGUUAAAAUAAAAUAAAUAUCGAAAAUGAAAAUUAAAACUUUUGAGUUGGAUAACAAGUUUAGUUGUUAGAUUGGUUGAAACGUGGAACUAAAUAAUUUCAACCAUGGUCGAGCUAAAGAAUUAAUACAUUAAUUUUAAAAUGGUAAUCGGUCUCAGUUAUUCACUAAAGUAAAUAAAUUUCAAAAAUAAUAAUUAGAAUUAGAAGUACAAUUCUCCACGGCUAUUAAUAUUGACCCAUUUCACUUCGUUUCAUUAUUUAAUUCAAAAUUGGCAACUCAUGUUCUCCUCUUUUAUACUAUAUUAUCCAUUUCCCACACCAUCAACCUCUUUUCUGUAUAAAUCUCUAUAAACUCCUCUAUAUAUACUCUUCUCUUCUUCUCAUUUCAGAAACAAAAGAUCUUCAAGAAUGGUUUCAACACAAAAAGUGACUUUCCUUGCUUCCUUCCUCUUCAUCGCUGCUCCUUCCGGCUGUUGCUGCUGUUGACUAUCAGGUCGGAGGUGAUUUCGGUUGGAACCUACCGCCAACUCCCACCUUCUUCUCCGAAUGGGCUAGUAAUAAGACUUUCUUUGUUGGCGAUAGGUUAAGUAAGUAAUCAUAUAUAUACUCUACAUUUUAUUUUAACUUCCAAAGCUUUCCUAAAUUUCUAUUAGAUUUCAAUUAUAUAUAUUCCUAAACUUUGAAAAUUGUUCUGAACGAUUACAUAAACCUCUUAGUUCUAGGAUAGAAGGUAAUACCAACUUUCACUUUCACAUGUUAUUAUUUACAACUAUAUAUAUAAUAUUUGGAUUAUUAACAUUUUUUUUAUUGUCUCAAAAUGUAUCAUAUUAUAAACACUUACGUAAUCCAUUUUUACACUUCAACCAUUGUGUCAAAUUAGAUGAUUAAAUGUUGUAUACAAUGCCAGUUGUUGCAUGAAUUUUCAUCAUUUUGUUUAUGAUGAAUAAAAGAAAAUUAAGGAUAAUUUGGAAGAUAAUUAGUAUAAUUCAUUUAAUAUUUGUUUACUUGCUAACUUAGAUUAAUUAUAUUUUAGAAUACUAAUUAGUUAAAUGUUUUAUUUUCUUGUAAUUGGCUAUAAAUAACCACUAGAAUUGUGAAAGAAAGCUUUGGAUCAUCAAUUUGAAAUAGAAUGUCCGUCCUUAGAUAUUUAACUGUCAUCUUAAGGGAUUAAACUUUUGUUUGUUUAUAGAUUUGACUUAAUACUUUUCUCAACCUAGGGUUCAAUUCAAGUGCAAAUGAAACUCACAACUAUGCAAUGCCUGGGUCUCAAGCAGAGCUUGAUGGGUGCGUGAAGCCAGGAAUAGUUUUUGUGGGAAAUGUGUUUUCCUGUACUGGAUCGUCCUGGUCGUAGAUACUUUAUAUGUGAAGUUGGUAACCAUUGCAAUUUGGGCAUGAAAUUUGCUAUUGAUGUUAUGCCUAUACUUGGAUCGAUGCCACCUAAUGCUGCACUCAAAAUUGAUGCAUUUCCUAUGCUACUACUCUUCAUCACCAUGAUCACCAAUUUCUUGUUCAUCAUAUGAGAUAUUAAUUUAUGCAUCUCUCCAAAUUAAUAAUCUCAAUGUUCUAUUUUUCUAGAGUAUUUGAUAUCUUUCUACUUCAUUCAAUAAAUGCUAUUGUAACAGGAUUGUACAUGCUUGCAUUUUUUUUUCUCCCUCACAAUUCAAUAUAAUGUACGUUUCUUUGAUUUGUUUGUAGUGAUUUAUAAAUUUGGCAUUUUUAUGGCCUUCAAGAUGAGAGUGAUAGGGAAUUAAUUAACUCUAGGGUACUUGAUUUUGCAUUUGUUCACUUGUGUUGAAUUAUCAAAUUUCUUUCAAGGGAGAAAAGAAAUUGUGUUGAGGGAGAAAGCAAGGUAUUUUGUCUUUGAAACGAACGACUAUAUUUAAAAAGAAAAAAAACAAAAAAACUCCUGACAUCGUAUGUACGACCAUCAAGAGUUUUAUUGGCGUCGAAAAUUUUACAAAGAUCUUCUAGUGCCAUAAACUUUUGACACCUAAAUACAGCAAAUUCUCAAUCGACAUUUUAUUUAACAACAUCAAGAAGACCUCUUCCAACACAUUUCGCUUGACCUGGCGUCCGACACACAUUAAUUUAUGUGUCGGAAAGAUCCUUUUUCGACGCAUUUUGAUAUUUUUCUUGACGAUUUUCUACUUCAGGAGAUCCAUAAUUUUUUUUAGUUUCGGUUGAAUAAGAAAUUUUGAGACCAAUCACAAAUUGCCACAUCAUUUAUUAAGUUAAUGAUGAAAAUACAAAUAAUUAAAUUUGAAACUAAUUAAAAUUGACAUGUGCCCCAAAUCAAAGAAUUGAAAAAGAAAAUAAAUUUGGCCAUUCUAAUAAUGUCACAUGUUUCAUCUUAAUCGUUGGAUUAAGUUAAUCAUUUUGGUUCAAUUAAAUAUUAUUUACUUGUACUAAGUUCAAUUAAGCUAAAAAAUAAGCUUAAUUGAGCCCAAAUACUAAAUAUAACCUAAUCCAUAUGGUUGAGCCCAUGGUCUAGUCCAUGGAUCAACCAGGUUAACCCAUAAAGCCCAGUGAACUCUAUAAAUAGAAGAAUUCUCUCAUUUGUAGGGGUUGGAAAAUUUGACUCUAGAAGAUCCAAAGAGAAUUCUUCCAAGAGCUAGAAGACUCCCUAACUCCUGAAUCGACAUUCUGAAGAUUGAAGCUUCUUUGAAGAUACAAGCUUUCUUCCAAGGCUCCAACUUCAAGAACAUCACGUGCUCCUUCCUCCAAAUCAAGCGAAGCACCCAGUCGAGAGAGAAUCAGAGGAUCAAAUUCUAGAGAUUGAACCGCAUUGCAUCAAAUCAACAAAAAUACAACAUCAACACCAAGUUCAAUCCACGAAUUAAAUUUCUCCGGAAAUCUCGUGCGAACAAAUUGGCACACCAGUGGGACCAUCUCUACCUCUCAUCUCUCUCUCGUCAUCUAGAGCUACAAGCAAAUCAAUGGCAUCAAAGAAAUCUGCAUCCAAAUCUUCACUGCAAGCGACACCUACCGGACCUAUCACCCGUAGUCGUUCCAAGGGGAUCAUCCAAGGGCAAGAUCAAGGUUCCGCCAUCGCGCGCAGAGCAUCCUGAAGCAAUUGAUGGAAUCUCCUAAAGCUGGAAUUGUCAUCAAGGAAAAUCCUCUAUAUAAUGAUUUGAUUUGCCUCUAGCAGGUCACUGAAAGAAGCACACCCAGAUGUGAUGUUUGUCAUGAUGGCUGAUUGUACAGUCGAGACUGCCAUGGCGGAGAUGGAGAGAAAAAUUAAUCUCCUGAUGAAGGUUGUUGAUGAACGAGACCACGAAAUUGCAGCUUUAAAGAGCAGAUGCAGACUCGUGAAACUGCUGAAUCAAGUCAAACUCCUGUCGUUAAAGUUGUGACAAAGGGAAGAACGUGGUGCAAGAAAAUCACCACAACAACAAUCAACUUCUGUGGCUUCUCUCUCGGUUCAACAAUUACAAGAUAUGAUCACAAACUCCAUCAGAGCACAAUAUGGAGGCCCAUCUCAGACUUCUUUCAUGUACUCUAAACCAUACACCAAAAGAAUCGACAACUUGAGAAUGCCGCUUGGAUAUCAGCCUCCAAAAUUCCAGCAGUUUGACGGAAAGGGCAAUCCAAAACAGCACGUUGCUCACUUCGUCGAAACAUGUGAGAAUGCAGGAUCAAGAGGAGAUCAACUAGUCAGACAAUUUGUUCGAAGCUUGAAAGGAAAUGCUUUUGAAUGGUAUACUGAUCUGGAGCCAGAAAGCAUUGAGAGUUGGGAACAACUAGAAAAGGAGUUUCUCAAUCGCUUCUACAGCACCAGGCGUACUGUAAGCAUGAUGGAGCUUACAAAUACGAAACAAAGAAAGGGAGAACCAGUCAUCGACUACAUCAAUAGAUGGAGAGCUCUAAGUCUUGACUGUAAAGAUCGGCUCACCGAACUGUCGGCUGUAGAAAUGUGCACCCAAGGCAUGCACUGGGGACUCCUCUACAUUUUGCAGGGAAUAAAGCCCCGCACAUUUGAAGAACUGGCAACUCGAGCUCAUGAUAUGGAGUUGAGCAUCGCCAGUAGAGGAACUAAAGAUUUUCUUGUUCCUGAAGUAAAGAAAGAUAAGAAAGAGAUGAAAGGUGCUGAAAAGAUAGUGAAAAGCACCGCGAAAGAAUCUGGUCGUAAACACAACCCCGCUGAAAUUCUCCAAAGGAAAGGAAGCGAGGGUUGAAAAGAAGGAUGAUGGAAGCGAAAGGCGACGUCUGACUUUAAAAGAAAGGCAGGAAAAAGUUUACCCAUUUCCUGAUUCAGAUAUCGCUGACAUGCUAGAGCAACUACUAGAGAAGCAGCUGAUCCAGCUGCCAGAAUGUAAACGACCUGAGCAAGCAGGAAAGGUAGAUGAUCCCAAUUACUGCAAGUAUCAUCGGGUCAUCAGUCAUCCAGUAGAGAAAUGCUUCGUGCUGAAGGAGCUAAUUCUAAGGUUGGCUCGUGAGAAAAGGAUUGAGCUAGAUUUGGAGGAAGUAGCUCAAACAAACCACGCUGCAGUGACGAUAAUGUCUGAGGUUUCUUCGUCGAGAUUGAUUUUUGAGCAAAGGAAAAGCUUGGUCCAGUUCGGGACCUUUGAGCCUAUAGUUGUCCAAUUCUUUCAGGAAGUCUCAUACGAGGAUCCUCAAGGAGGGAAAAGACCAAUCGAAGAAGACGAUGAAGGGUGGAUAGUGGUGACCCACCGAAAGAAAAGACAGUCGAUCCCGACCCAAAGAGAGUCUCGCUCUUACCAAAACUAUAGAAGAGGAAAUAAGACUCAAAAGAAUAAGAAAAAGAAGAAGACUCAUAAGCUUAAGCUCGUACAUAAUGAAGACAUGAAUUUCUCUCGACCUCAACGCUUAGUGACCUUGGCAGACUUCCUUCCAAAAAGCUUCCUUUGUGAUCAUCAGGAUGAAGACCCAGAAGUCGUUGCGUGUCAUGCUAUCAACACAACGGAGGAAGAAAUAAUCCCUCCAAGAUCACUAGAAGAAGAGGGAGUAUCAAAAGACCUUUCAAGGUUUAAUGUAGAGGAUCUAUUAUCACUUCCUCAAGAGACCAAAACCAUCCUUAUUGAUGCAUUGCUAAAUUCAAGAGCAUCAAGUUCGAGUACUCCGACUAUGACAUAUGAGAGUGGUUCUUAUUGUAUGUCUAUAGACUUCUCAGAUGAGGAUUUGUUGUUGGGAUCUAAACUUCAUAAUAGACCUUUGUAUGUUUCUGGAUACGUUCGAGAACAGAGAGUCGAUCGAAUCCUCAUUGAUAAUGGAUCAGCUGUCAACAUAAUGCCAAAGUCGACUAUGUGGCAAUUAGGCAUCUUGAUGGACGAGCUCUCAAAUAGCAAGCUAGUAAUUCAAGGUUUUAACCAAGGCAGCCAAAGAGCAAUAGGCAUGAUACGGUUAGAACUCAUAAUUGGCGACCUAAAGGCCAGUGCAUUGUUUCAUGUCAUAGACUCAAGGACUACUUACAAGUUGUUACUAGGGCGUCCUUGGAUUCAUGGAAACGGAGUAGUAACUUCAACACUGCAUCAGUGCUUCAAAUUUUAUCAGGACGGUGUAAAGAAGGUUGAAGCCGACUCUAAUCCAUUCUCAGAAGCUGAGUCUCACUUCGCAGAUGCAAAGUUUUAUUCAAAGAAUAAUAAUAUUUUAGAAGUUUUGCCUGCAGAAACCCCUCUUACAAAAGGAGAAGAUAAUUCACAAUGAAAUCACUCGCAACCACAGAACCACAUGAAAGUGCGAGAACCUUUAACUCUGGAAAGGGUGAAGCAUACACUAGCAGCACAAAGGGUAUGAUCUUGAAGGAUGAAAAUGCUGCAAACACAUUUUGCGUUAUGUCCCUCUGUCAAGGCGCAAGAAAGGCGAAUCACCAUUCAUGGAGUCUCCAAAAGGUUUGAAAGUUGGUGACAUCGAAAUCAUAAAAGAAAGCUUCACUACACCACUAACUAAGAUAGCGAAGCAGGAGGUAAAGGUAGAUCUGGUGGAAGCAAACUUGCCCCAAAGGCGAACGAAAGACGGAUUCGACCCCAAGGCUUACAAAUUGAUGGCGAAAGCAGGUUAUGACUUCACAGCUCACACCGAGUUUAAAAGCUUGGAAAUUCAUGACCGACCUGAGCUCUCCUCAACUCAAAAGAAGCUUCUACGGGAAGGACAUUCUAUACCCGUGUCGAGAAAAGGACUCGGAUACAAGUCGCCAGAACCGAUCCGUAUAACUAAAAAGGGGAAGGAAAAAGUGGUUGACAUCAAUCAUAUAACUAUAGAGGAGGAUGACAAUACUGACGUAAAAGAAGGUGAUAAUCAGAGAAUCUCAGUAUUUGAUCGAAUUAGACCAUCUGUUGCACGUCCCGUAGUAUUUGAAAGGCUAAGCAUGACAGAGGCAGAAAGAGAAAGGCUCCAGUCAGUACCAAGCCUUGAGAGACAUUCGGUCUUUCGAAGGCUAACUACGACUCCCAUAAAGGAAGAAAGCACAUGCCAUGCCUUGACAACUACAAGACCAUCAGCCUUUGAAAGGCUAGGUGUGUCUAAAAAGAAAAAUGUACAAGCACCCCGUGCUCCGAUUUUUAAUCAUCUCGGGGAUAAAGGAUCACACGACAACAUUGAUUCCAACAUAGAUACAAAGAAGAAGGAACCAAUGUCUCGUGUGAAAGUUUGGCGUCGAAUUAAGCAUACAGAUGUCGAAUUAUCGUAGUAAGAAGUUUCCUUGCGAGACAAAGGAAAAUGGAGAAAUUCAUAGCAACGUUCCUUCUCGCAUGAAAAGAAAAACUUUUGUUACUCUCAAUACAAGUCAAGGUUCGUUAAAGGUAAAAAGACAUGAUGUUAUACUAACGAAUCCUGAAAAAGAAGGGUCGGAACAAGGGGAAGGUGAAACUUCAUGUCAUCACAUCACCAUUAUUGAGGAAUCAGAGACUGGAACUCAUGAAGAAGACGCAGAAAAUGCCCCACAAAGUUUAGAGGAUGGUGGUCAAUCUACUGUAGACGAGCUAAAAGAGGUGAACCUUGGUACAAUAGAGGAACCACGUCCGACUUUCAUUAGUGCGUCCCUCUCUAACGAAGAGGUGGAUAAAUAUAUGAGUUUGCUCACCGAAUACAGGGACAUCUUUGCGUGGUCGUACAAGGAGAUGCCAGGACUUGACCCAAAAGUAGCAGUCCAUCAUCUUGCAAUUAAACCGGAUAUCGACCGAUUAAACAAGCACAACGACGUUUUCGACCGGAGCUUAUCCCUCAAAUCGAGGUGGAAGUCAACAAGUUGAUCGAAGCAGGAUUCAUUCGCGAGGUCAAAUAUCCAACGUGGAUAGCAAACAUUGUCCCUGUUAGAAAAAAAAUGGACAACUUCGCGUUUGUGUAGACUUUCGCGAUCUGAAUAAUGCAUGCCCUAAAGAUGAUUUUCCCUUGCCCAUCACCGAAAUCAUGGUUGAUGCAACUACUGGACACGAGGCGUUGUCGUUUAUGGAUGGGUCGUCUGGAUAUAAUCAAAUACGGAUGGCCCUCUCAGAUGAAGAAAUGACAGCUUUCAGAACUCCAAAGGGAAUAUACUGUUACAAGGUGAUGCCCUUUGGAUUGAAAAAUGUCGGCGCUACUUAUCAACGUGCCAUGCAGAAAGUGUUUGAUGAUAUGUUGCACAGGUAUGUUGAAUGUUAUGUUGAUGAUCUUGUAGUCAAAACAAAGAGACGACAAGACCAUUUGAAGGAUCUAAAAGUCGUGUUUGAUCGCUUGCGAAAAUAUCAGCUAAGGAUGAACCCUCUCAAGUGUGCGUUUGGUGUAACUUCAGGAAAAUUUCUUGGCUUCAUUGUAAGGCAUCGAGGGAUCGAAAUAGACCAGUCCAAGAUUGAUGCCAUUCAGAAGAUGUCAAGACCUAAAAGUUUGCAUGACCUAAGAAGUCUCCAAGGACGAUUGGCUUACAUCCGAAGGUUCAUCUCUAACUUGGCCGGUCGGUGUCAACCUUUUCAAAAGUUGAUGAGAAAAGGAGAAAAUUUUGUGUGGGAUGAAGCUUGUCAGAACGCUUUUGAUAGCAUAAAGAAAUACUUGCUUACUCCCCAGUGCUGGGAGCUCCAGUACCUGACAAACCACUAAUAUUGUACAUUGCUGCACAAGAAAGGUCCUUAGGAGCAUUACUGGCACAAGAAGAGGUAAAGGGAAAGGAGCGUUCUCUCUACUAUCUAAGCAGAACAUUAAUUGGGGCUGAAGUUAACUAUUCUCCUAUCGAAAAGAUGUGUCUUGCACUUUUCUUUGCCAUUGAUAAGUUGAGGCAUAUAUGCAGGCCUUCACGGUUCAUCUAGUGGCAAAAGCAGACCCUAUAAAGUAUGUUCUAUCCAGGCCAAUCAUCUGGACGCUUAGCCAAAUGGGCGGUUCUACUCCAACAAUAUGACAUUGUCUAUAUUCCCCAAAAGGCGAUAAAAGGACAAGCGCUAGCAGACUUUUUAGCAGACCACCCAAUUCCUUCGGAUUGGAAGUUAUGUGAUGACCUACCAGACGAUGAGGUUUUCUUCACAGAAGUUAUGGAACCUUGGACUAUGUACUUCGAUGGUGCAGCUCGAAGAAGUGGUGCGGGGGCAGGCAUUGUCCUCAUUUCUCCUGAGAAGCAUAUGUUGCCUUAUAGCUUUGCACUUUCCGAAUUGUGUUCAAACAAUGUGGCUGAAUAUCAGGCUUUGAUAAUUGGCCUUCAAAUAGCAUUAGAAAUCGGAGUGUCAUUCAUAGAGGUCUAUGGUGAUUCAAAAUUGAUAAUCAAUCAACUCUCGCUUCAAUAUGACGUGAAACAUGAAGACUUGAAGCCAUAUUUUGCUUAUGCUCGACAAUUGAUGGAAAAGUUUGAUAAUGUGAUGUUAGAACAUGUCCCUAGAGUAGAAAAUAAGAGAGCGGAUGCAUUGGCAAAUUUAGCCACGGCCUUGACCAUGCCAGAUGAUGUAACUCUGAACAUACCACUUUGUCAACGAUGGAUUAUCCCCAGUUAGGCCUGAAUGUCAGGAAGUGAACAUGGCAACAUCCUAUUUGAUUGAUGAAGAAGAUUGGCGUCAACCCAUCAUAGAGUAUCUUGAACAUGGAAAGCUUCCAAAGGAUUCUCGUCAUAAAAUUGAGAUACGAAGAAGGGCAGCACACUUCAUUUAUUACAAGGGAACUUUAUAUCGCCGUUCUCUUGAAGGGCUCUUCCUUCGAUGUCUCGGAAAGGAAGAUUCGGUAAAAGCUCUAAAGGAAGUACAUGCAGGUGUUUGUGGAGCACAUCAAUCGGGACCAAAGCUUCAAUUCCAGCUAAGAAGAAUGGGCUACUACUGGCCUAAGAUGAUCCAAGAUUCAAUAGACUAUGUGAAGAAGUGUGAGCCUUGUCAAUACCAUGCAAACUUCAUACACCAACCUCCAGAACCUCUUCAUCCAACUGUGGCUUCUUGGCCUUUUGAGGCUUGGGGACUCGAUCUGGUUGGCCCCAUUACACCAAAAUCAUCAGCAGGACAUUCUUAUAUCCUAGCAGCAACAGACUAUUUUUCAAGGUGGGCUGAGGCCAUUUCUUGAGAGAAGCCAAGAAGGAGAACGUGGCAGACUUUAUUCGAACACACAUCAUCUAUCGAUACGGUAUUCCACAUCGAAUCGUGACGGAUAAUGGAAAGCAAUUCUCCAAUAGUAUGAUGGACAAGUUAUGUGAAAAAUUCAAAUUCAAGCAAUAUAAGUCAUCCAUGUACAACGCAGCUGCGAAUGGACUAGCAGAAGCAUUCAACAAAACAUUGUGUAAUCUUUUAAAGAAAAUUGUCUCCAAGUCAAAGAGGGAUUGGCAAGAAAAGAUCGGCGAGGCAUUAUGGGCUUAUCGACGACUCAUCGCACCCCUACAGGGGUUACACCAUAUUCGCUUGUUUACGGUGUGGAGGCUGUCCUUCCUCUCGAAAGGGAAAUUCCGUCACUAAGAAUGGCAGUACAAGAGGGAUUGACUACCGAAGAUAAUGUGAAGUUACGUCUUCAAGAAUUAGAAGCACUUGACGAAAAGCGAUUAGAGGCUCAGCAAGCAUUGGAAUGUUAUCAAGUGAGAAUGUCCAAAGCUUUUGAUAAACACGUUAAACCUCGCUCCUUUCAAGUCGGUGAUCUAGUACUUGCCGUAAGGAGACCGAUCAUCACAACAAGGCAUACAGGAAAUAAGUUCACACCUAAAUGGGAUGGACCCUACAUUGUUAAAGAAGUUUAUACAAAUGGCGCAUACAAGAUCGUUGAUCAAGACGGACUAAGAAUUGGCCCAAUCAAUGGUAAAUUUCUUAAAAAAAUUUAUGCUUAAUUUUGUUAGGUAAAAAAAAAAAAAAAGUUGAACUACGUUAUGACUUGAUCCCUAUAUUAUAAAGGGUACGUAGGCAGCUUAAGGAAAACCUUAAGCCCAGUCCAAAAAAAAAAGUUGAACUACGUUAUGACUUGAUCCCUAUAUUAUAAAGGGUACGUAGGCAGCUUAAGGAAAACCUUAAGCCCAGUCCAGCAAAAAA
rnacentral:lncRNA from 1 species